ACCACCACACCGAAGUGAUAGCAAGUAAGGUGCUAAAAUAUGUUCAUAUAUUUAAGAUAAUGUCAACAAUGUGUUAUUUUGAGAGGCAGUAUUUCACAGUGGUGAUAUUCAAGAGUCUCUAAAACAAGUCUGAAUCCCAGUGUCUUUUCUUAUAUGGCUGUGCAACCUUGGGAAGCUUGUUGAAGAGUGGUCUCAUAAACAUCAACACUGAGGAAGUGAAAGCAGGGGCAUCAGAAGAACAAGAAGUUGAAGUGCUAUGACAUCACAACAAAGACAUUAUCUCAGCCUGGGGAGAGUUCUGGAACUGGUUUGGACCUUCAGAAUAGUCUUCAAUUGAGACAAAGAAGCUGUGCCUUUGUACAUCCUCUCUCUUCCCUCACAUUGACCAAUCACUGGAUUUGGUCUGUCCCCAGGUUGGACUCCAGGCACUUGGGAGAAGGAGUACCUGGGUCCAAGAGUGCUGUUGUCUCAUUCCUGCAGGAUACCUGGAAGAACACAGGAAUUGGAACUGGAGGUGGGUCUUGGGAAGGACAGCAUGAUGAAGUGGUAGAGCAUCUGACUUUGAAGCUGGACAAGCAUCACCAAAACCCAGUGCCACUACUUAUUUUCUAGAUGGCCUUGGACUCCAUUUUGCAUCUGUAAAAUAGAAUUAACUAUAACUUUUACUCAUUAAAUUGGUGUGAUUUGAUGAUGAGAUUAGAUGAAAUUGCUUAGACCUUAGAACCAGUUUAUGAGUAGAGCCUGGAUUCUAAAGCUGGUCCAUUGACAUAAGAUGUGUCUCAUUAACAAUUCAGUUAUCUUUUCUGACAGUCCUUGCCUCAUCUACAUGAAAAGUGUUC